UACGUAGGGCGCAAGCGUUGUCCGGAAUUAUUGGGCGUAAAGAGCUCGUAGGCGGUCUGUCGCGUCGGCUGUGAAAACCCGAGGCUCAACCUCGGGCCUGCAGUCGAUACGGGCAGACUAGAGUGCUGUAGGGGAGACUGGAAUUCCUGGUGUAGCAGUGAAAUGCGUAGAUAUCAGGAGGAAUACCGAUGGCGAAGGCAGGUCUCUGGGCUGACACUGACGCUCAUGCACGAAAGCGUGGGGAGCAAACAGG
rnacentral:rRNA from 1 species